UAAAUACAAUUUUUGAAUCCCACAUUAUUUCUGACAUGACUGUAAACAUAACAAGUCAAAAAGAUUUGACUUUAUAACUUAUCCCCUCAAAACAAUAUUCUUGCAACAUGACUUUCACUUUUCUUUAGCUUGUCCACUGCUUUUUGUAUGACAUUUCUGCUUUACAGUACUAACAUAAUAACCAUUCAUAAUGCAAAUGACAAUCACCUCUGAUCUAUUAUUUUAGGAUUCUGCUCCAAUGAGAAGUAUAUUUGUCUAUAAUAGAGAAUUUAUUCUUACCAUGAUCAAUGAAAUUAUCAAUAUAGCUGCUAGAGAAAUUUUGCUGGAGAAAAAUGAAAUACAACUAUUGAAUAUGAUUAAUAUUGGAUCUUUCCUCAACUUUUGGGUAAAGAUUUAAUCAAGCUAAAGGAUUGAUAUACAAAGUAUGAUUAUUGUUUACCUGAUGCUUUAUCAUUUCAACAUUUUAAUGCAGAUGUUAUUUAUUUGUGUUCCAUGCAGUAACGUGCACUGUAUUGUACGGCAUUUGAUAUAAUCUGCAAUAUUAAUUCCUUUACAUAUUUCUUCUUUCUUUUAACUGUUAUUUUGCUCGGAUGGAACUAGGUGUUGGUGGUGGAGUUGUUCAACCUAGUGGCGCUGCUGAAACUGGUCUGAAACCAGCAAAGAGUUAUGUAGCAGUUGGGACUGGGGGAACUGGCGGCGGAGGGAUUCGUAACCCCUGGCUCGGCUACGGAAAUCCCUACGGUGCUGGAGUGGGCCUGGGAGGCGGGCCCGGAGGUGUGCUGCCCUUAGCUAAACCACUGAAGCCCCCAGCGUUUGGCGGAGCCGGCGGGGCUGGCAUUCCUCUGUCGGCCGGACUUCCUGCAGGAGGAUACGGUCCAUACGGUCCAUAUGGUCAAGGUUAUGGACAGGGUGGACAGGUGUACCCUGCUACUGGGGGGCUGGGACCCGGUGGAGCAGGAGGUUACGGCAAUCUGGGAGCUGCUGGGGGAUAUCCACAAGGUGCUGUUGCUCCGGGUUAUGGUGGUGGAUACCCACAGCAGGCUGGAGGUGGAUAUGUCCCUGCCCCUCUGACUCCUCAACAAGCCAAAGCAGCAAAGUAUGGAGCGUUGGGGGGAUUCCUUAAGGGUGCAGGAGGAGGAGCCUACCGGGGUUGCCAGGGGAAGUUUUGUGGCAGGAGGAAGUAACGGAUCUCUGGGCUAUGCUGUGACCUCAAGAAACCAUGGUGCUACUGCAUGAUGUCGAAUGUACAUUUUGUAUGCAAACACAUCCCCCGAUUAGAGAGCAUGUAGGGAUGGUUGAUUCUUACUUUGUCCUACAGACCCACCGACUCAGAAUUUUGUAAAACUUAUCUUUGAUGAAGCUAGUUGAACUGAUGAAUGAUAUGAUAACAUGUCCGUUUAUCAUAUGAUGACAUGACAUUUCUUUUGUUUUGUUUGUUGUACCGCUUAUAGGGUCAGAUGAAGAAAGUGUUUUUGAACAGACAACCCGCCCUCAUUGCUACUAGGUUAACUAAUAUUUGUGUAAAGGACAACAUGCCAGUUUCUCAAAAUGAGAAACUGGUGGCCCUCAAAUAAAAUAAAAAAGUCCAACAAAAUAAAUAAAAACUAGAAUAUAGAAAUAGUUAUAUGUUUUAAAUUCGAGAGAAACAGUGUUUUUGCAGAAGUCUGUGUUUAUGCCCCUUCAACCUAGCCUGGUGAAAUAUCACUUGUGUAGAGGACAAAGGGAUUGACGCGUGCGUGCUAACACAACCGUACAAUACCAUCUUGUAAUCGAUUGUGCACACUGUAGGCAUUUGGUCCUCCAUCCUUGGAUGUGUUAGGGUUCUCAAACCACCACCCUGCAUAUCCUAUGGAGGUGGAGGUGAGAGGUAGAAGGCAUGUCCCUGGUGCUGACGCAUACUUCUUCAUGGUGCAUGUUCUCUGUUCAUGUUAAGCUUGUGACUGUAAAGAGCAGCCAGUUUGCCAGGUUGUUAUGACCUGCUCUCCUCAACAAUGGUCAUUCUAUGCAGUUAAGCAGCCCUGAUGUCUCCUUAUUUCUACCAUGACCAAAAGUGUAAAUGAAUGAAGGACCGUUUUCUGCUCUGGAUUAUUGUAUGCCAAAAGGUGUUUCAUGUCCUUAAAAAAAAAAACGUUAGGAUACUGCUCUGGUAUGUACAUUGUUGCAGGACAAUGACUUGAGUGUUGAGUGUGGUAUGGUGCUUUAUUCACCCUCAAGUGUAGUCUCACUUAUUAAGGCUUUCUGUAUUUACAUUUAGGCAACUUGUCAUUAUUCAAGAUUCUGUUUUCACCCGACCUUAUUUUCCUCAUAAUUUUGUCAUUAGCAGGUAUGUCUGAACAAGAAGUGAGAAAAUAUGUUUUAAACUUUGCUUCAGCAUUUAUUCACUGUUGAGAAUUAUACUGACUAAGAGCUUUGUUUAAAGAGGGAGACUACCUAUGUGUUUAUGCCCUGUCUAAGUGGGACUUUACCGACUUGAGUUACAUUAAAGGAAGUCUCACGCGUGAUCAGCUCAACUAAUAAUAGACUCCCUCUUUAUAUAUGUGUGUACUGUAUUUUAUACCAGUUGGACUUAAGCGCACUUGGUUCUAUUUCGUGCUUCUGUAAGAACUAUAUUUGAGCCUUGCUAGGUCCGACCUUGUCUUCUGUGCCGUGAGAUACUAUGUUCAUCUUAAUUUAAAAAAAGAAAUUAAAAGGAGAACCAUGGGGAUUUUGCACUUUUUUGUAUUUCUACGACACACUAUGACAUGCGCCAGACAUCCUGGCAUUUUAUUUGCUUCAUAAGAUAACAAAAUAAAAUGUGUUUAAAAAAUCAA
ensembl:lncRNA